UACGUAGGGUGCAAGCGUUGUCCGGAAUUAUUGGGCGUAAAGAGCGUGUAGGCGGCCCGAUUAGUCCGCUGUGAAAGUCCAGGGUUCAACCCUGGAAUGCCGGUGGAUACUGUCGGGCUAGAGUCCGGAAGGGGCGAGUGGAAUUCCUGGUGUAGCGGUGAAAUGCGCAGAUAUCAGGAGGAACACCAAUGGCGUAGGCAGCUCGCUGGGACGUGACUGACGCUGAGACGCGAAAGCGUGGGGAGCAAACAGG
rnacentral:rRNA from 1 species